UGUCUGCAUGAUCCUUUAACAGUCAGCAACAUUCCAACAAUGUACUGGUUGGCGGUCCUUAUCCUGGUCACAACAUGUUGGACAUGCUGCAGAUCCCAGCCCAACCUGUCUCAGCCUCCAUCACAGUCAGUGUCUCUGGGUGAAACAGCCAAACUGUCCUGCAGCAUGACUGGGGGCAGCAUCAGUAAUUAUGAUAUGCGCUGGUACCAGCAGCGACCCGGAACAGCUCCACAAUACCUUCUCUACUACUACAGUGGCAUUACAAGCAGGGGCUCUGGGGUCUCUGAUCGGUUCUCUGGGACAGAGGACAGUUCAAACUACUAUUUAACUAUCUCUAGUGUCCAAGCAGAGGAUGAUGCUGAUUAUUACUGUACUGUAUGGGAUAGUAGUAGCAGAGUACACAGUGAUACAGUUACAGAGAGAACUGAAACAGAAACUGUCUGCAUCAUCAGAUCUCUGUGCACAACUGUACUAUAA